rnacentral:rRNA from 1 species
GAACGCUGGCGGCAUGCCUUACACAUGCAAGUCGAACGGCAGCACGGGAGCAAUCCUGGUGGCGAGUGGCGAACGGGUGAGUAAUGUAUCGGAACGUACCUUUCAGUGGGGGAUAACGUAGCGAAAGUUACGCUAAUACCGCAUAUUCUGUGAGCAGGAAAGCAGGGGAUCGCAAGACCUUGCGCUGAUUGAGCGGCCGAUAUCAGAUUAGCUAGUUGGUGAGGUAAAGGCUCACCAAGGCGACGAUCUGUAGCGGGUCUGAGAGGAUGAUCCGCCACACUGGAACUGAGACACGGUCCAGACUCCUACGGGAGGCAGCAGUGGGGAAUUUUGGACAAUGGGCGCAAGCCUGAUCCAGCCAUGCCGCGUGAGUGAAGAAGGCCUUCGGGUUGUAAAGCUCUUUCGGCCGGGAAGAAAUCGCAUGGGUUAAUACCCUGUGCGGAUGACGGUACCGGCAUAAGAAGCACCGGCUAACUACGUG